rnacentral:miRNA from 1 species
CCAGAGUGGAAUGAAGAUAUGGUU